rnacentral:rRNA from 1 species
GACGAACGCUGGCGGCGUGCUUGACACAUGCAAGUCGAACGGUAAGGCCCUUCGGGGUACACGAGUGGCGAACGGGUGAGUAACACGUGGGUGAUCUGCCCUGCACUUCGGGAUAAGCCUGGGAAACUGGGUCUAAUACCGGAUAGGACUCCGGACUGCAUGGUCUGGGGUGGAAAGCUUUUGCGGUGUGGGAUGGGCCCGCGGCCUAUCAGCUUGUUGGUGGGGUGAUGGCCUACCAAGGCGACGACGGGUAGCCGGCCUGAGCGGGUGACCGGCCACACUGGGACUGAGAUACGGACCAGACUCCUACGGGAGGCAGCAGUGGGGAAUAUUGCACAAUGGGCGCAAGCCUGAUGCAGCGACGCCGCGUGAGGGAUGACGGCCUUCGGGUUGUAAACCUCUUUCAGCAUCGACGAAGCGAAAGUGACGGUAGGUGCAGAAGAAGGACCGGCCAACUACGUGCCAGCCGCCGCAGUAA